rnacentral:tRNA from 1 species
AGCUCUGUAGUGAAGUUCAUGUUGAGUUGCAAACUCAAUGAUGUGUAUAAAGGUACACCGGGGCUU